rnacentral:rRNA from 1 species
GACGAACGCUGGCGGCGUGCUUAACACAUGCAAGUCGAACGGAAAGGCCCUGCUUUUGUGGGGUGCUCGAGUGGCGAACGGGUGAGUAACACGUGAGUAACCUGCCCUUGACUUUGGGAUAACUUCAGGAAACUGGGGCUAAUACCGGAUAGGAGCUCCUGCUGCAUGGUGGGGGUUGGAAAGUUUCGGCGGUUGGGGAUGGACUCGCGGCUUUUCAGCUUGUUGGUGGGGUAGUGGCUUACCCAGGCUUUGGCGGGUAGCCGGCCUGUGAGGGUGGCCGGCCACAUGGGGACUGAGAUACGGCCCAGACUCCUACGGGAGGCAGCAGUGGGGAAUAUUGCACAAUGGGCGGAAGCCUGAUGCAGCAACGCCGCGUGCGGGAUGACGGCCUUCGGGUUGUAAACCGCUUUCGCCUGUGACGAAGCGUGAGUGACGGUAAUGGGUAAAGAAGCACCGGCUAACUACGUG